rnacentral:rRNA from 1 species
AACUAAGCAUAUCAAUAAGCGGAGGAAAAGAAACUAACAAGGAUUCCCCUAGUAACUGCGAGUGAAGCGGGAAAAGCUCAAAUUUAAAAUCUGGCAGUCUCUGGCUGUCCGAGUUGUAAUCUAGAGAAGUAAUGCCCGUGCUGGACCGUGUAUAAGUCUCCUGGGAUGGGGCGUCAUAGAGGGUGAGAAUCCCGUCUUUGACACGGACUACCAGUGCAUUGUGGUAUGCUCUCAAAGAGUCGAGUUGUUUGGGAAUGCAGCUCAAAAUGGGUGGUAAAUUCCAUCUAAAGCUAAAUAUUGGCGAGAGACCGAUAGCGAACAAGUACCGUGAGGGAAAGAUGAAAAGAACUUUGGAAAGAGAGUUAAACAGUACGUGAAAUUGCUGAAAGGGAAACGCUUGAAGUCAGUCGCGUUGGCCGGGAAUCAGCCUUGCUUUUGCAUGGUGUACUUUCUGGUUGACGGGUCAGCAUCAAUUUUGACCGCUGGAAAAAGACCUGGGGAAUGUGGCAGCUUCGGCUGUGUUAUAGCCCCUAGUCGCAUACAGUGGUUGGGAUUGAGGAACUCAGCACGCCGCAAGGCCGGGUUUCGACCACGUCCGUGCUUAGGAUGCUGGCAUAAUGGCUUUAAGCGACCCGUCUUGAAACACGGACCAAGGAGUCUAACAUGCCUGCGAGUAUUUGAGUGGAAAACUCAAGUGCGCAAUGAAAGUGAAAGUUGAGAUCCCUGUCGUGGGGAGCAUCGACGCCCGGACCAGAACUUUUGGGACGGAUCCGCGGUGGAGCAUGUAUGUUGGGACCCGAAAGAUGGUGAACUAUGCCUGAAUAGGGUGAAGCCAGAGGAAACUCUGGUGGAGGCUCGUAGCGAUUCUGACGUGCAAAUCGAUCGUCAAAUUUGGGUAUAGGGGCGAAAGACUAAUCGAACCAUCUAGUAGCUGGUUCCUGCCGAAUUCCCCC